CGACUGCAGUCCAGCCUGGGCAACAGGAGCGGAAUUCUGUCUCAAAAAAUAAAAAAUAAAAAAAUCUGCAGCCUCUUUCCACAGAGAGUAAUCUGGCAUUAAUUUUACUUCUGGCUCCAUCUUAUUCCCUGGCCCUACCCCAUAUGGAAGCUCUCGUCUCUAAUGUCAUUGAAGAAUGAUGGUGACAGUGACCAUGAUGGCUGAUGAUGGAGCUGGACAGGCAGCCUAGUGGUGGUGAUUGUAUAGUUUGGGAGAAGAAUGUCUAUGAUCUGAGCGAAGAUGAAGCUAGUAAUGGUGGAUAAUGAAGACAGAGGUGCGGACUGUGGUAAAAUUGGUGAUGGUGAUCAUGGAUGGUGUUACACCACUUCCGGUUUAAAGUUUAAACAAGAAGGAAAGUGAAAUCAUAUGGAGAUUCCACUGAAGGCUGAUGAAUCAGGGCCUAGAGCACGCUGGCAUCCACGCCAAUGGAAAGAGUGUCCCAGGAGCCAUGAUGUUUCUCUAAUGCCAGGGAGUGGCCUUCUUGGAGGGACAGCUGGACUUUGUGAGUGUGGGCCUUUUUCCCUUGGAUCUCAGGCAAAGCCAGGAGCCUGGCCUGGAACCAAAGUUGUUUAUAUAUUGACGAGGUGAAAGAUUUACACCGAGUGAACCUAGGGUUCAAAAUUCACAAACUCCUACGGUAUGUACACUAGAGCAAAGCUUCCUUUCUGCCCAGCUCUCCUGCCCCACGGCGGCCAGACACCUCUCACUCAUUUCACCUCCUUUCCAGAUAUAAAGUUGUACAUUAUAUGUAUGCUUCUUUUUCUUAUUCUUGGUCUUGGAGACUGGUCCAUAAGUAUAUACUAUACAAAGAGACAACUCCUCAUUUAUUUUUUUAGAGAAAGAGGUCUCAUUAUGUUCCCCAGGCUGGACUCAAUCUCCUGGGCUUAAACAAUCCUCCUACCUCAGCCUCCCAAGUGGCUAGACUACAGACACACCACAGCACUCAGCUAGCCUCCUUCAUCUUAGAGUCUCACAUCACCCCGUGGUGGGGGCCCCAUUUUAUGGGUGGACCAUGCUCUACUGAGCAGCCCCAGUUGGGCAUUUAGAUUUCUUCUGAACUUUUAUAGGUUCAUAGUCUCUUAUCCAAACUGUUGGGAUCAGAAGUACAUACAUGUACGGUUGACCUUUGAACAACAUGGGUUUGAACUGCACUGGUCUGAUUUUUCUCAAUAAAAGUCACAAGUUUUGUGCCUGCCUUUCCUGCUCCCCUUCCAUCUCUUCUACCCCUGCCGCCUCUGCCACCCCGAGACAGCAAGACCAUUCCCUCCUCUUCUCCUCCUCAGCCUGCUCAAUGUGAAGACAGCGAGGAUGAAGACCUUUAUGAUGGUCCACUU